GAUGAACGCUGGCGGCGUGCCUAAUACAUGCAAGUCGAGCGAACAGACGAGGAGCUUGCUCCUCUGACGUUAGCGGCGGACGGGUGAGUAACACGUGGAUAACCUACCUAUAAGACUGGGAUAACUUCGGGAAACCGGAGCUAAUACCGGAUAAUAUAUUGAACCGCAUGGUUCAAUAGUGAAAGACGGUUUUGCUGUCACUUAUAGAUGGAUCCGCGCCGCAUUUAGCUAGUUGGUAAGGUAACGGCUUACCAAGGCAACGAUGCGUAGCCGACCUGAGAGGGUGAUCGGCCACACUGGAACUGAGACACGGUCCAGACUCCUACGGGAGGCAGCAGUAGGGAAUCUUCCGCAAUGGGCGAAAGCCUGACGGAGCAACGCCGCGUGAGUGAUGAAGGUCUUCGGAUCGUAAAACUCUGUUAUUAGGGAAGAACAAAUGUGUAAGUAACUAUGCACGUCUUGACGGUACCUAAUCAGAAAGCCACGGCUAACUACGUG
rnacentral:rRNA from 1 species